rnacentral:lncRNA from 1 species
AAGUUUUCCCCUAUUUUUCUUUUAAAUUAUGCAAAAACCAAAUCCUAAUUCCAUUUUCACAAAGAGAGCCAAAACAACCGCCUCUUUCCUAUACUCUCUCUCCACCGUCGGCCAUUACACCAUCUCCUCCAUCCUCCUUCAUCUUCUUUCCUCCAUCAAACCACCAAAUCUGUCGUCGCUCUCUCCAUUGCCGUCACUCUUCAAACCAACAGAACCACCAACAGACGCCGCCACCACUCACCACUGUUUCGGUGAGUCAACGCCCUUCUCUUCUCCUAUCCCAGCGCUGCCUUCCAUCAUCUCCAUCGGUGGACUGCCACCACCAAUCCCGAACCUCGUGUUGCUUCUCCUUCUUUAACACCGCCACUAUGCUUCUCCACGCCUCCCCAUAACGCCACUGGCUAGUGACCAUAUCCUUCACCAGCGAACCACCACUGCUACCGCACGGGAAAAUGAUGGGUUCUCAAGUUCGAUUUUGAGUUUACUUUUAUAUGACCAAUUUUAAUUUUCUUUUACCCCUAUACUUUCUUUCUUAAAUAUAGAUUUUUAGAUGUGAAAUUUAUGGCUUUUAAGACAUGAUGUUGGCUUGAUUCUUGCAAAUUUGUGUCUAUUUACAUUCUUAGACUAUCAUAUAUGAAAAACCCUAAAUUUGUACGAAAUUUGUAUGAAAUUUAUUUUUAUCCUAAUUUUGGUUUAAGUUCCGAUUCUGCAAAUGUGGAAAUCUCAAUUUCCCCUUCAUUUUUACUGUUAUGAAUCUAUCAAUGAGGUAAUACCAAAAUAAAGUUCGAAUUUCGAUUUUAGUGGGUAAUCUUGAUAUUGUGAUUUGUGCACUCAAUGCCAACCUUAGUUUAGAAAUUUUUUUUUAGCAAGAUUGAUUUUUUUUAUCUUAACAUGAUUGUGCGAUGAUUUUUCGGUAACUUGGAUCUGAUUUUGUGCAUAAUUACAAUAAUUUGAUUAAGAAAUAUUUUUCUAUAUGAUUAAUUGCUUGUAUUUUUCACCAUUUUGGUCGAUUAGUUGCUUGUAUUUUUUCACCAUUUUGGUUAUAUGUGGUAAGUGUUAAUUGUCCAUGUUCAUUUUUUAUUUAUUUGCCUUUUUAUUUCAAGAAAUAUUCUACAUGGUAAAUUUGCACCUUUUAUAUUCUAACUUGAUUCAGCUAUCCAUUUAAAGGAAAACUAUCUCAUUGGUUAAUUGUUGUCAAUAUUGCUUUUUCUUUUUUUUUUUUAAAUUCUACUAAUUGAUCUAUGAAUAUCUUAUUCCUUUUAAUUUCGUUAACUGAUUGAUGAGAAUAUUUUUCCUUUCUUCUAGUUUUGAACAAAUUUUACUUAUCUAUUUUGGUAAAAUCACAGUUGUUUAUAAUUCAACUAUCCUUUUAAAGGAAAAUAUUUCAUUGAUUGAUGGUGAUGAAUAUUUCUCUUCCUUUUUAAAUUCCUAUGAUUUAUCGCUGAAUAUUUUCUUUUCAUUUUUUUUCAAUUUCAUCACAUGCUUAUAAAAAUAAUUUUCUCCUCUCAUUAGUGACAGCUUAACAACAGAAAUCCUUCUCAACUUUAAAAAAUAUUAACUUCUUCUGCUUUGGAUAUGGUGGUGCACUCUUCUUUCUUUCUCUCUCCAACAUUUUGUUUCUAUCUUUGCUUCAAAAAAGGUCUGUUCGUUUCUUGAAUCUUUUAGAUGUUGAACGUCACAACUUUAAACCCGUUUACUCAUAACUUCGACAAACAUAUAUGCUUGAUGCGGUACAUAUAAUUCAUCAUCUUAUCUAUGUUGGAUUGGUUCAAAUAGCGUAAUGUUUGUGAUAUGCUUUUCGAGUAAAUAAAUUUGUUGGUUGCAAAAAUGCUGAUGAGGCUAAUAUGAAGAAGGUGUUUCUUUGGUUUGGAUUCUGCUAGUCCGUUCUUUUUGGUGCAUUUGUCCAUGUAAACAGGUUCUUAGCAGAAAGUUGAUUCGGGGAUUUGAAGAGUCGCCUGGGAAAGUGAGGGCAUCGUUACCACUUCCACGUGCUCAUAUGUUGAUUUCUAUUUCUUUUUAUUAUUUUGGUCUGUAAUAAUUCAUUGUACAAACAUUUUAUAAACAUAGUAAAAGUAAUGGGGUCUAUUUAGGGGGGCUGGAAAAUUAAAAGUUAUGGGGUCUAUUUAGGGCGCUGGAAAAUUACUUGCUAUGUGCCUCAUUUCUCGACUUUUUUACUUAUUUUUUGUCUAUGCAAAUAUUUUUUAAAAUAUCAUCAAUUGUUUAAUGCUUUUUCGUCAAAACCAUUGUUUAAUUUUUUUUCUACAACGUGAAACAGAUAAUGUCUUUUAAAAUAAUUAAUUACAUAAAUGUUAUCUCCUAACCUAUAGUUGGCAGGAAAGUAAAGGAAAUUACGAGGUCUAAUUGUCAUGUUUUUAAAUUAAGCUGACGUGUCUUCGAGAUUACCGCUUACCAAAUUUUUAUUUUUUUUUUGAAAAACGGAGGUUAUGCGUAUCAUAGAUUAAUACCCUUGUGUGUUUGUAUCUUAAAACUCAAAAUUUUUAAUUGGCUUUACAAAUUCUAAUAUUGUUAUAUUGUUAUUUUAUAACUUAAGACUAACCUCAAAUUAAAAAUAUUGCUAAGGUCAAAUGAGCAUAAUUAUUAAUAUUGUGGCAUCAUCCCUAUAAAGCAAUGAAUAUUUUAUUUUUUCUAAAGAAAUAAACACUCUCUUGAUUGCAUUUAAAUCUUCUUUAUUAUUAUCACUUAGUUAUUAUUAAGUUUAUAAAAUAAGUGACUUUUAUUGAUACAGCAGUAGAAUCCCCAUGUAAUAUAUGAAUUCGGUUGGAAAUCAUAUUUGUUGACCUUAAAAGAUGUCUAACACUUUUCUUUUGAGGUAACUUGAACCCUUAC